rnacentral:rRNA from 1 species
GAUGAACGCUGGCGGCGUGCCUAAUACAUGCAAGUCGAGCGAACGGACGAGAAGCUUGCUUCUCUGAUGUUAGCGGCGGACGGGUGAGUAACACGUGGAUAACCUACCUAUAAGACUGGGAUAACUUCGGGAAACCGGAGCUAAUACCGGAUGAUAUUUUGAACCGCAUGGUUCAAAAGUGAAAGACGGUCUUGCUGUCACUUAUAGAUGGAUCCGCGCUGCAUUAGCUAGUUGGUAAGGUAACGGCUUACCAAGGCAACGGUGCAUAGCCGACCUGAGAGGGGGACGGGCGCCCGUGAGACUGAGAGACGGCCCUGACUCCGAGGGAAGGCAGCAGUAGGGAAUCGUCCGCAAUGGGGGAAAGCCUGACGGAGCAACGCCGCGUGGAUGAUGAAGGUCUUCGGACCGGAAAACUCUGUUAGUAGGGUAGAACAUAUGUGGAAGUAACUGUGCACAUCGUGACGGUACCUAAUCAGAAAGCCACGGCUAACUACGUG